AGUGAACGCUGGCGGCAGGCCUAAUACAUGCAAGUCGAACGGCAGCACAGUGGAGCUUGCUCCAUGGGUGGCGAGUGGCGGGACGGGUGAGGAAUACAUGGGAAUCUGCCCAGUCGUGGGGAUAACGUAGGGAAACUUACGCUAAUACCGCAUGCGCCCUUCGGGGGAAAGCCGGGGGACCGUAAGGCCUGGCGCGAUUGGAUGAGCCCAUGUCGGAUUAGCUAGUUGGCGGGGUAAAGCCCACCAAGGCGACGAUCCGUAGCUGGUCUGAGAGGAUGAUCAGCCACACUGGAACUGAGACACGGUCCAGACUCCUACGGGAGGCAGCAGUAGGGAAUAUUGGACAAUGGGCGCAAGGCCCUGAUCCAGCCAUGCCGCGUGAGUGAAGAAGGCCCUCGGGUUGUAAAGCUCUUUGUCCGG
rnacentral:rRNA from 1 species